GGCGUGAUUGACGGUGCAGCCGACGAAAACGCCGUCGCCAAGCUCGGUGACCUGCACGGCCAUCAAGGGCUUGACAUGGCCGGCGAAGCUGAGGGUGUUGUCGAAUUGGAAGAAGCGGCGGAAGGGCGGGGGGAUGUCGCGAUCGGGCGGCGGGAGCAGCGCUUCCGUGGAGAGGUGCGGCGCCUUGGCGUGGAAGAAGUCGACGCCGGCGUCGUUGCAGAGGAUGUGGACGUGGCCGGCGGCAUCGGUGUGGAGGCGGCCGGCGAGGGCGGGGAAGUGGGAGAGCGUUUUGGAUAGGGAGAGCUUGAGGAGGGAGAGGAGGUCGGCGGAGGAG
rnacentral:lncRNA from 1 species